GGAGAGGUGUCCGAGUGGUUGAAGGAGCACGCCUGGAAAGUGUGUAUACUCGAAAGGGUAUCGCGGGUUCGAAUCCCGCCCUCUCCGCCU
rnacentral:tRNA from 1 species